UUGGUGAGGUAAUGGCUCACCAAGGCGACGACGGGUAGCCGGCCUGAGAGGGCGACCGGCCACACUGGGACUGAGACACGGCCCAGACUCCUACGGGAGGCAGCAGUGGGGAAUAUUGCACAAUGGGCGAAAGCCUGAUGCAGCGACGCCGCGUGAGGGAUGACGGCCUUCGGGUUGUAAACCUCUUUCAGCAGGGAAGAAGCGAAAGUGACGGUACCUGCAGAAGAAGCGCCGGCUAACUACGUGCCAGCAGCCGCGGUAAUACGUAGGGCGCAAGCGUUGUCCGGAAUUAUUGGGCGUAAAGAGCUCGUAGGCGGCUUGUCACGUCGGGUGUGAAAGCCCGGGGCUUAACCCCGGGUCUGCAUUCGAUACGGGCAGGCUAGAGUGUGGUAGGGGAGAUCGGAAUUCCUGGUGUAGCGGUGAAAUGCGCAGAUAUCAGGAGGAACACCGGUGGCGAAGGCGGAUCUCUGGGCCAUUACUGACGCUGAGGAGCGAAAGCGUGGGGAGCGAACAGGAUUAGAUACCCUGGUAGUCCACGCCGUAAACGGUGGGAACUAGGUGUUGGCGACAUUCCACGUCGUCGGUGCCGCAGCUAACGCAUUAAGUUCCCCGCCUGGGGAGUACGG
rnacentral:rRNA from 1 species